GAUGAACGCUAGCUACAGGCUUAACACAUGCAAGUUGCGGGGCAGCAUGUCGGUUGCUUGCAACCGAUGAUGACGACCGGCGCACGGGUGAGUAACGCGUAUCCAACCUACCCUUCACCACGGAAUAAUCCAGUGAAAAUUGGUCUAAUACCGUAUGAGGUCAUACGAUGGCAUCAGAAUAUGACGAAAGGUUUAGCGGUGAAGGAUGGGGAUGCGUCUGAUUAGCUUGUUGGUGAGGUAACGGCUCACCAAGGCGACGAUCAGUAGGGGUUCUGAGAGGAAGGUCCCCCACAUUGGAACUGAGACACGGUCCAAACUCCUACGGGAGGCAGCAGUGAGGAAUAUUGGGUCAAUGGGCGAGAGCCUGAACCAGCCAAGUAGCGUGCAGGACGACGGCCCUAUGGGUUGUAAACUGCUUUUAUAGGGAUAAAGUGAGUCUCGUGAGACUUUUUGCAUGUACCUUAUGAAUA
rnacentral:rRNA from 1 species